UACGAAGGGGGCUAGCGUUGCUCGGAAUCACUGGGCGUAAAGCGCACGUAGGCGGAUCUUUAAGUCAGGGGUGAAAUCCUGGAGCUCAACUCCAGAACUGCCUUUGAUACUGGGGAUCUCGAGUCCGGAAGAGGUGAGUGGAACUCCGAGUGUAGAGGUGAAAUUCGUAGAUAUUCGCAAGAACACCAGUGGCGAAGGCGGCUCACUGGCCCGAUACUGACGCUGAGGCACGAAAGCGUGGGGAGCGAACAGG
rnacentral:rRNA from 1 species